UUCGGUGCGAUUGAAUAGCCACGAAAAUGAAAAUAUCUCCCUCGUCAGCCCCUCUCACGUCCUCCUCGUUUCCUUCCACUCCCUCGCGACCCCCGCCGCCGCGCCAGGGCCUCGUCUCGCCCUCACCGGCCACCGGCGACCUCCAACCAUUGUUCUCCGCCUUGUCGCCAUAGCCACCUUGAGCUCGAGCAUAGGAGCGGCUCGGCAGGACGAUGGGGCAGCAGCCAGCCGCGCCUCGUCCGUGUCGCGUGGUGGCCCAGAUGCGGUCGCCCUGUGCUCUGCCUCCACGAGCGCGGCCUCGAUCCAGACUCGGCAGGAGGAGGGGAGCAGCAUCCGGCCAUGCUGUGUUGGCCGUGGAGGAGGAAGGAGCUCAUGUGGCUAGGGUUCGGCUACCCUCGUCAUCCAUCUCCUCGAUCUCUCUCUCUGUCUGGCCGUGGUCUGAAGGAGGAAGAGGGGACCCAGCGAAAUCGAGCGAUGCGGGCUGCAAUAUCCUAAAUAGGUGGCGGUCGAGACCACGGGAGCGGGAGCGACGGCCAUCUCCCCCCGCCCCACUCUCUUUACCUCUUCUAUGGAGAUGCUUUGCUGGGGACAUAUGAUUUCAUCCCAUUCUGUACUAUCCAUCAGGCCUCGGAUCCACGGCUUCUACAUCUUCCUCCUCCGGCCCCUGCCAUCCAAGAUAGAGACGGCUUGGAUGGCAAGGGCCAAGCAUCGGCAUGGUUGAUGGCUUCCAAGAUUAAAGUGGUCAAUUAUGAAUGACGAUGCAGCCUGCAAGUAAUCAUUUGUGUUAUUUGCCUGUCUUUUCCAGGUUCGUCAUAUCCAUAGCCUAUGUAUUUCAUCAUCCCAUGUGAUUCAAGCUGGGCCAUACAGUUGUAUGCUAGAUUGGUAUGUACUAUAUACAUCUGGAUGACCAUGAGGAUUAAAGAGUGUCGUUAAUUCCAAUGGAAAAAUGCCUAAAUCUCGCUGUCCACUAAUUCACGGCAAUGAAAUUCUCUAACUCGUUAAAAAUCGCUUUGAUGUUGUACCAGCUGAAGCUUUUUCGUCUUCUGAAUUGAACAGGCAGGAGUUUAGUUUGGUGUUCUCAAACAGGCCAUAGUUUGAUGUCCUAAAUCUAAUUUGGCCUUUCAAGUUAGAUAUUAUCCAUGUAUAAAUACAGAUUUCCUUGAAUAUAUAUUGUUUUGAUCAGCACAAAAUAGCUCUAGCCUCUAGUACAAUUUUAAGUGUCGUGCAUGGGUGGUUUUUGUGCAGUUAUGUUGAUCUGCAUGCAUUUUCUGCAUUAUAGUGUUGAUAUGUCUCAGUAAAAUAGUGAGUACAUAUAACUUAGGCAAGCUACAAUCAGUUAGUUUUGUUACUAAUCCAUUGAUCCUUUGUUAAAUUCCAAGAGUCAGGGUACCGACACCCAAAUAAAUUCAGGCCAGUCCUCGAUGUGAAGAAGCUAAGGGAGGCGGAUCCCGACCCUUAUGACAGCCAAAAUUAGGCCGCCACUCGUCUCUCUCCCGCACCUGCUCUUCAGAUGGCCAACAACACUUCGCGAGCAAUGACUGCUGUCCAGUUAAGAGCAAGAAAGAUCUUGUUGUUACUUGUCUUUUCAACAGUUCUUCUGUGUGGAAGGCUCUUUGCUCACACUCAAAUACUACCUCUGAAACAUGGAAGAAGGAAAAGGUUACUCUUCUGAUCUUGAGAAAAUAGUUUCAGAGAGGCUAGCAGAUGCAGAAGAAUCUCUAAAGAAGUUGAAGCAGGUUCUCUUCAAUUUGCUGUUGUGCUAGGCAUGAACAGAAUGGCUUCCUCUUCUUGCGAGCCACACUGAUGUUGGCUUCUGGUUUCUGCUAUAAUGUUUUUUUUACUAUGGACAGCGUUUCUUCAGGCUAUGUCUCUACUAUAGGUCUCCGCAUUUCGGGGGACCAAGUCCGACGACGGGAGAUUCUACAUAUAUUUUCUAAAAGACAUGUCGCUUGGUCGAAGCCUUGAUCAUGGUGAUAUGUGUUUAUUCGUCCGGUGACUCAGUAGAACAAUAACAUGUGUGCACGGUGAUGUUUCAGUUUCUACUAGAAGGUUUCAAAAUUGAAUGCAUGGAGGGUUUAAAUGAGUCUUGUACAAGACUGAGAAUAAAUUAUGCUUUCUGAGUUUCAAGCUACUGAAAGUAAUUAAAGAUUUGCCUUUGCUAUGUAAGAAUGGUUGUAUGUGUUAAUUAGUGGUGCACAUUUUUUGAGACCGUCUAAAAUUCUACUCCCUCUGUUCCUAAAUAUUUAUCUUUUUAGAGAUUUCAAAUGGACUGUUCCAUACGGAUGUAUAUAAACAUAUUUUAGAGUGUAGAUUCACUCAUUUUGCUUCGUAUGUAGUCACUUGUUGAAAUUUCUAGAAAGACAAAACGGAGGGAGUAUUAUAAAGUGCUUAUAUGAAAUUCAUAGGUA